AAACUUUCAACAACGGAUCUCUUGGCUCCAGCAUCGAUGAAGAACGCAGCGAAACGCGAUAAGUAAUGUGAAUUGCAGAAUUCAGUGAAUCAUCGAAUCUUUGAACGCACAUGGCGCCUUCCAGUAUCCUGGGAGGCAUGCCUGUCCGAGCGUCGUUUCAACCCUCGAGCCCCCGUGGCCCGGCGUUGGGG
rnacentral:rRNA from 1 species